rnacentral:piRNA from 1 species
UGUGAAGGGAAAACAGAUACGAUGGU